CGCUCGGUAGCUUAGUUGGUAAAGCACUUGUUUAGCGAAUAAGAGUCGUAAGUUCAGAAUUUCAUCUAAGCUG
rnacentral:tRNA from 1 species